UACGGAGGGGGGCAAGCGUUGUUCGGAAUUACUGGGCGUAAAGGGCGCGCAGGCGGCUGCUCAAGUCAGGCGUGAAAGGCCUGGGCUCAACCCGGGAAUUGCGCUUGAGGCUGGGCUGGCUUGAGUGCGGGGAGAGGAUGGUGGAAUUUCCCAGUGUAGAGGUGAAAUUCGUAGAUAUUUGGGGAGGAACACCAGUGGCGUAAGCGGCUAACUAGACGAGUACUGACGCUCAGGCACGAAAAGCGUGGGGGAUCAAAACAGGAUUUAGAAAACCCCUAGUAAGUC
rnacentral:rRNA from 1 species